rnacentral:lncRNA from 1 species
AACGGUAGAAGACUGAGAAAUCAGAGCCGGAGCGGAGGGCCACCGCUUGGUGCUUUUGGGGUCCGGCGGUGUUCUCAAAAGUGAUGUCACGAGCUAUGAAGCCAUCACCAACGACGGCUGAAAGAAGAAACGAACGAACGAUGUGAGUAAUCAAAUGAUAGGUUGAAAACAAGGAAAAAGAAAAAGCACUAAUUUUUUUCUCACGUUUUUACUGUUAUAUUUUCUCCUUUUAGUUGUGUAAAGAACUGUGGUGUUGGUGAAAUGGGAGACAUAAAAAUAUCCAACUAAUUAGAAAAAAAGAUAGUCGUGUUUUUACUAUUCAAAAAAGAAUAAAAGAACAAAUUGAGUGUAGAUAAUUUGCAUGAGUGUGUUUUAAUUUGUUAUUCAAAUCAUGUUUCUUUUUCCUCAUUUUCUCCUCUUAAUUUAGGAUAACUUUAUGUUUUUGUCUAAGUUUAGAAUGUGACUUUGAAAUAAUUUAUACAUGUUGCUUACCAAAUGUUGCUGUGCGAAAAGUUGUCGUAGUUUGAGCAUUCUUAUUACCAGUAACAACCGUGGCACCAAUUCCAUCUCCAAUUAACAUGAUAUUUCUAGCUGAUCUUUGAAUAUCAACAUUCUCAUUGUAAACUCCAGCUUUUACAUGUAUGACAGUUCUUUUGGCACCGCCAGCCGCCGCCACCGCCUCUGAUAUAGUCUUGAAGUUGCCAGAACCAUCUUGAGCCACCACAAUGUCAGCAUUUAACGGUGCACCGAUUUUUUGCAAGAGCUUUCGGUCGGCACCGGAAAGCCAAGUGGGG